AUUGAACGCUGGCGGAAUGCUUUACACAUGCAAGUCGAGCGGUAGAUCCUUUCGGGGGUUGAGAGCGGCGAACGGGUGAGUAAUGCGUCGGAACGUACCGAGUAAUGGGGGACAACGCAGCGAAAGCUGUGCUAAUACCGCAUACGCCCUACGGGGGAAAGCAGGGGAUCGCAAGACCUUGCGUUAUUCGAGCGGCCGACGUCUGAUUAGCUAGUUGGUGAGGUAAAGGCUCACCAAGGCGACGAUCAGUAGCGGGUCUGAGAGGAUGAUCCGCCACACUGGAACUGAGACACGGUCCAGACUCCUACGGGAGGCUG
rnacentral:rRNA from 1 species